GGGGAUGUCGGGUUUCGACAGACGAUCAGAUUGUUGAAUUGCAGGUCGAGGUGUCGGUACGCACUCUCGUUAAACAACCGACAAAACAUAGUUGCCAAAACAAGCAACAACAACUUCGCUCUCGCUGCCUAAUAACCAGUGACGCGACAUCCGCCCAACUUUUUCUCGUGGGGUUGGGGUACGGGUGCCAUAAAACGCGAGAUGCUCUUACACUGAACGCCCUCUAGGUGUAAGCUAAGACCAGCGGGCCAGCGCACCAGGAAUUUUGUCGAUGGGAGUCCGGGGCGUAAUGAAACACAUCGACUAAACCUGUAGUACAUUCUCCAGUGGGAUCGCCUGGACAGGGAGUUCAACUCUCCCUCAUCUCCACCA
rnacentral:tmRNA from 1 species